GACGAACGCUGGCGGCGUGCUUAACACAUGCAAGUCGAACGGAAAGGCCCUGCUUUUGUGGGGUGCUCGAGUGGCGAACGGGUGAGUAACACGUGAGUAACCUGCCCUUGACUUUGGGAUAACUUCAGGAAACUGGGGCUAAUACCGGAUAGGAGCUCCUGCUGCAUGGUGGGGGUUGGAAAGUUUCGGCGGUUGGGGAUGGACUCGCGGCUUAUCAGCUUGUUGGUGGGGUAGUGGCUUACCAAGGCUUUGACGGGUAGCCGGCCUGGGAGGGUGACCGGCAACAUAGGGACAGAGAUACGGCCCAGACGCAUACGGGAGGAAGGAGUGGGGAAAAUAGCACAAUGGGCGGAGGCCUGAUGGAGAAACGCCGCGUGCGGGAUGACGGCCUUCGGGUUGUAAACCGCUUUCGACUGUGACGAAGCGUGAGUGACGGAAAUGGGUAAAGAAGCACCGGCUAACUACGU
rnacentral:rRNA from 1 species